UACAGAGGGUGCGAGCGUUGUCCGGAAUCACUGGGCGUAAAGGGCGCGUAGGUGGCGAGCCAAGUCCAUGGUGAAAGCUCGAUGCUCAACAUCGAGUCGGCCACGGAUACUGGUGCGCUUGAGCACUGUAGAGGCUAAUGGAAUUCCGGGUGUAGCGGUGGAAUGCGUAGAGAUCCGGAAGAACGCCGGUGGCGAAGGCGGUUAGCUGGGCCAUCACUGACGCUGAGCUGCGAAAGCUAGGGGAGCAAACAGG
rnacentral:rRNA from 1 species